rnacentral:rRNA from 1 species
GGUGGUGCAUGGCCGUUCUUAGUUGGUGGAGUGAUUUGUCUGGUUAAUUCCGAUAACGAACGAGACCUUAACCUGCUAACUAGAUUCUUCUAUACUAUAGAUGAUAUCUUCUUAGAGGGACUAUGUAAUACAAAUACAUGGAAGUUUGAGGCAAUAACAGGUCAGUGAUGCCCUUAUAUGUCCUGGGCUGCACGCGUGCUACACUGAUGCAUACAACAAGUGCCUAACCAGACAUGGUAUGGCAAUCUCGAAUAUGCAUCGUGAUGGGGAUAGAUCUUUGCAAUUA